rnacentral:rRNA from 1 species
GAACGCUGGCGGCAGGCCUAACACAUGCAAGUCGAACGGUAACAGGAAGCAGCUUGCUUCUUGCUGACGAGUGGCGGACGGGUGAGUAAUGUCUGGGAAACUGCCUGAUGGAGGGGGAUAACUACUGGAAACGGUAGCUAAUACCGCAUAACGUCGCAAGACCAAAGAGGGGGACCUUCGGGCCUCUUGCCAUCGGAUGUGCCCAGAUGGGAUUAGCUUGUGGUGGGGUAACGGCUCACCAGGCGACGAUCCCUAGCUGGUCUGAGAGGAUGACCAGCCACACUGGAACUGAGACACGGUCCAGACUCCUACGGGAGGCAGCAGUGGGGAAUAUUGCACAAUGGGCGCAAGCCUGAUGCAGCCAUGCCGCGUGUAUGAAGAAGGCCUUCGGGUUGUAAAGUACUUUCAGCGGGGAGGAAGGGAGUAAAGUUAAUACCUUUGCUCAUUGACGUUACCCGCAGAAGAAGCACCGGCUAACUCCGUGCCAGCAGCCGCGGUAAUACGGAGGGUGCAAGCGUUAAUCGGAAUUACUGGGCGUAAAGCGCACGCAGGCGGUUUGUUAAGUCAGAUGUGAAAUCCCCGGGCUCAACCUGGGAACUGCAUCUGAUACUGGCAAGCUUGAGUCUCGUAGAGGGGGGUAGAAUUCCAGGUGUAGCGGUGAAAUGCGUAGAGAUCUGGAGGAAUACCGGUGGCGAAGGCGGCCCCCUGACGAAGACU